rnacentral:tRNA from 2 species
GGUGGCCUCGGGCCGGGAGUGAGGCCGGCGGCUUCCGGUGCCGCCUUCGCGCCGUCCCGCUCGCUCGGCCCGGCGGUCAGCC